rnacentral:rRNA from 1 species
UACGUAGGUGGCAAGCGUUAUCCGGAUUUAUUGGGCGUAAAGGGAACGCAGGCGGUCUUUUAAGUCUGAUGUGAAAGCCUUCGGCUUAACCGGAGUAGUGCAUUGGAAACUGGGAGACUUGAGUGCAGAAGAGGAGAGUGGAACUCCAUGUGUAGCGGUGAAAUGCGUAGAUGUAUGGAGGAACACCGGUGGCGAAAGCGGCUCUCUGGCCUGUAACUGACACUGAGGCUCGAAAGCGUGGGGAGCAAACAGG